GAGGUUGAGGAUUUUAACCUACCAGGGAAAGGGUCAUCAAGCUUGACCUCAGCCUCAAAGAAUGAUAAAAAUGGCAAUUAUAACACCUUAUGUCCUUGGAAAGUUUACACGUGCCAGGCACCAUGCUAAGUUCUUCCUACACAUUAAUAUUUUACAGAUGUGUAAGUGAGAGUUAGAAAUGCCAGGUGACUCUUCCAAGGACACACAGGUAAUAGUGGCAGAAUUACAUCUUGGGGGCACAGAGAAGGCAUGAAGUCAAUAUCUGUGGAAUUAAAAUGAGUUGAUCCCAGGCCUGGCUGACUCUGGUAUGCUUUAAUCUCCUGCUAUCUGAAGGCAGGUGGGGUAGAGGUAAGGGGUAGGAAGGAUAACUCUGGCACGUGUGUGACAGCAGGGAGAUGCCAGCAGGCAGAGUUCAGGGGACUGCAGAAGGACUGGAACACAAGAGAGGAUGAGAAAUGAGGUAGGGAAUGUGGGCAGAGCCCAAGAGUGAUGGUGAAUUUCAUGUGUCACCUUGCCUGGGCCAUAGGACACCCAGGGAACUGAUUAAACACUUUCAGGGUAUGACUGUGAGAGUAUGUCCAGGGGAGAUUAGCACCAGAAUCAGUGGCCUGAGAAAAGCAGAUCACCCUCCUCAGCAUGAGUGGGCACUGUCCAGUCUGUUGAAGGCCUGAACAGAAACAAAAGGUGGAGGAAGGAAGGACUCACUCUCUCAGCCUGACUGUCAGCUGGGACUUGGACCUCCUGCAUGUAGCUCUUCUGGCUUUCUGCCUCUCUCUCAGGCCUUCAGACACCACCAGCCUUCCUGGGUCUCUGGUUUGCAAAUGGCAGAUCAUGGGGCUUCUCAGCCUCCAUAAUCAUAGAGAGAGAGAGCGUGUGAGCAGGGAAGGAGCAGAGAGAGAGAGACGCACACAGAAUGCGAAGAAAGCUCCAGGCUCUGAGCUGUCAGCACAAAGCCUGAUGCGGGGCUCACACUCACAAACUUUAAGAUCAUACCUGAGCUGAAGCGGGAUGCUCAACCCACUGAAGCCACCCAGGCACCCCUACAUGCUGCCUGGUUUUAUAUGGCCUGUGAACGAAGAAUUGUUUUUACAUUUUCAGAUGGCUAGAAGAUUCAAAAGAAUAAUAAUAUUUGUGACAUGUGAAAAUUAUAUGAAAUUCAAAUUUCUGUCUCCAUAAAGUUUUAUUAGAACACA